GACGAACGCUGGCGGCGUGCUUAACACAUGCAAGUCGAACGAUGAACCCGGAGCUUGCUCCGGUGGAUUAGUGGCGAACGGGUGAGUAACACGUGAGUAACCUGCCCUUGACUCUGGGAUAACUGCGGGAAACUGUAGCUAAUACCGGAUACGACCCUCGGCGGCAUCGCCAGGGGGUGGAAAGAAUUUCGGCCAAGGAUGGACUGGCGGCCUAUCAGCUAGUUGGUGAGGUAACGGCUCACCAAGGCGACGACGGGUAGCCGGCAUGAGAGGGGAGCCGGCCACACUGGGACUGAGACACGGCCCAGACUCCUACGGGAGGCAGCAGUGGGGAAUAUUGCACAAUGGGCGCAAGCCUGAUGCAGCAACGCCGCGUGAGGGAUGACGGCCUUCGGGUUGUAAACCUCUUUGAGUAGGGAAGAAGCGAAAGUGACGGUACCUGCAGAGAAAGCACCGGCUAACUACGUGCCAGCAGCCGCGGUAA
rnacentral:rRNA from 1 species